rnacentral:SRP_RNA from 1 species
GCCGGGUGUGGUGGCUCACGCCUGUAAUCCCAGCACUUUGGGAGGCCGAGGCUGGUGGAUCACCUGAGGUCAGGAGUUCAAGACCAGCCUGGCCAACAUGGUGAAACCCCGUCUCUA